rnacentral:rRNA from 1 species
UUCCGGUUGAUCCUGCCGGAGGUCACUGCUAUUGGGGUUCGGCUAAGCCAUGCGAGCGGAGGGCGCGGUCGAGAGAUCGUGGCCCCGCACACGGCUCAGUAACACGUAGUCAACCUACCCUUGGGACGGGGACAACCUCGGGAAACUGAGGCUAAUUCCCGAUAGGCGAGGGACGCUGGGAUGCCUCCUCGCCCAAAGCUCCGGCGCCCGAGGAUGGGACUGCGGCCUAUCAGGCUGUUGGUGGUGUAACGGACCACCAAACCUACGACGGGUACGGGCGAUGGGAGUCGGAGCCCGGAGAUGGGGACUGAGACAAGGCCCCAGGCCCUACGGGGCGCAGCAGGCGCGAAAACUCCGCAAUGCGCGCAAGCGUGACGGGGGGAUCCCAAGUGCCGUUGGUCUUUUGAUCGACGGCUUUUCGGAAGUCUAAGAAUCUUCCGGAAUAAGGGCUGGGUAAGACUGGUGCCAGCCGCCGCGGUAACACCAGCAGCCCAAGUGGUGACCACGAUUAUUGGGCCUAAAGCGCUCGUAGCCGGGUCAGCAAGUCCCUUGUGAAAUCGGGCCGCCUAACGGUUCGGCGUGCAAGGGGUACUGUUGGUCUUGAGGCCGGGAGAGGUCGGAGGUACUCCUGGGGUAGCGGUGAAAUGCUCUAAUCCUGGGGGGACCACCAGUGGCGAAGGCGUCCGACCAGAACGGACCUGACGGUGAGGGGCGAAGGCUAGGGGAGCGAACGGGAUUAGAUACCCCGGUAGUCCUAGCUGUAAAGCAUGCGGGCCAGGUGUCUAGUGCUCCUCGAGGGCACUAGGUGCCGGAGGGAAGCCGUUAAGCCCGCCGCCUGGGAAGUACGGCCGCAAGGCUGAAACUUAAAGGAAUUGGCGGGGGAGC